UAGGGAAUCUUCGGCAAUGGGGGGAACCCUGACCGAGCAACGCCGCGUGAGUGAAGAAGGUUUUCGGAUCGUAAAGCUCUGUUGUUAAGGAAGAACGAGUGUGAGAAUGGAAAGUUCAUGCUGUGACGGUACUUAACCAGAAAGGGACGGCUAACUACGUGCCAGCAGCCGCGGUAAUACGUAGGUCCCGAGCGUUGUCCGGAUUUAUUGGGCGUAAAGCGAGCGCAGGCGGUUAGAAAAGUCUGAAGUGAAAGGCAGUGGCUCAACCAUUGUAGGCUUUGGAAACUGUUUAACUUGAGUGCAGAAGGGGAGAGUGGAAUUCCAUGUGUAGCGGUGAAAUGCGUAGAUAUAUGGAGGAACACCGGUGGCGAACGCGGCUCUCUGGUCUGUAACUGACGCUGAGGCUCGAAAGCGUGGGGAGCGAACAGG
rnacentral:rRNA from 1 species